AUCCAGCUGACGGGUCCCAAAUAGGACGAAACUCACGUCUUGGAU
rnacentral:hammerhead_ribozyme from 1 species